AAAAGAAAAAAGGAAAAAAAAAAACUUUGAUCAGAAGAAAUCUAGCAAGAGAAAAUGAUAAACAAUGAUACAGAUGAUCUAUGCGUUCACAGAACAACAUGGAUUUAAGUUGCAAAAUAAAUGAACCAUCCUAUCUGGCAAACUAAGGUUCUAAGAAGCGCAAGUCCAAAAACUCAAAUAUCCAACAUAACCGCUCCAACCAUGGAAGAAAAUCAAGGAAAAAAUAUUCUCAUCAAUCAUCAUCUAAUGUAAUAGAACUAAAACGCAAUAUAGUAUUGAAGGGGAAAAAUUGACUGAAGUUUUAGGAAUCAACUGUAGUAACCUGUUGCCACUCCCCAUCUACAGCUUCUUUCCAUAAAGUCACAUUGUUAUUCCCAUCAGCAACAGCCAAUCUGUUUCCAGUGGGCGACCAGGAG
rnacentral:misc_RNA from 1 species